rnacentral:misc_RNA from 1 species
GUGAAUCAUCAAAUCUUUGAACGCAUAUUGCACUCUCUGGUAUUCCGGAGAGUAUGCCUGUUUGAGGGUAAUUAAAAAGAAUCUUUACCAAUUUUUUUGGUCAAAGGAGAUGAGUUCUGCGCGUGUAUAGCGGUAGCUUGAGAUAAGUGGUAGUCUCAUUUUAGUCGAGACGCGUAAUAAUAUUAUUUCGCGAAAUCUUCAAUAUGUAACUAUCAAGUGUUGAUGCAUUCAAAUUUGGA